rnacentral:lncRNA from 1 species
AUGGCCGCACACAGAGCAAGGCUGUCCCUGUCCCUGCUGCUGAGCAUCGCCGUGUCCGAGCUGGCGCUGGGGACCACAGCAGUGGGUGUGACGGUGCCAGCAUCCACAGAGCCCCCCGUGUCGCUGCUCAGCACCGCAGCCACCACUCCUCCCUCCAGCCCGGACACAGAAGCCCCCACCUCAGCGAUGCCCAGCACACAGACAGAUGCCUCCACGCUCAGCUCUGUGACAACCCAGGCGACCACCUCCUCAAGCUCAGCCUCCAUGGCCAUAACACGGACCUGGGCUGACGCCACCACUUGUGCAUCAGCAGAGACAAGCACAGCCACAGUUCCUACCAUGCCGGAACAGUCAGAUUCUUCAGCUGAGCACUCCACAGCCCUGAUGGGCUCCACGACCACCUCCACCAGCAGCACAGUGCCUCCCAGGAGCACUCUCACUCCCAGCCAGACACAGGGGAACACAGCUAGGACCAGCUCUGCUAUCUCCACCAUAACUCCACAGACAGAUGCCUUCACACACAGCACUGCAACAACCCAGAUCACCACAAGCCCAGGGCUUGUCUCCACUACCCCAAGCCCAACUUCCACAGCCAUAGCAACCACAUGGGCUGAGACCCGGUCUGACACAUCAGCAGGGACUAGCACAACCCCAAUUUCAACCAUGAAUUUGGCAGCAACUGAAACAAUCAUGCUGCCUUCCUCCACCUCCAGCCCUCUGCCCCACACUUCAGUGGGCACCACUCUUGGCACAAGUGCCACCAGCACACUCCCAUGGACCAGCAGUGCCCCAGAACAGUCAGAUCCUUCAACUGAGCCCUCCACAGCACUGCUGGGCUUCACAACCACCUCCACCAGCAGCACAGUGCCUCCCAGGAGCACUCUCACUCCCAACCAGACAUUGGAGAGCACAGCUAGGACCAGCUCUGCUAUCUCUACCAUAACUCUGCAGACAGAUGCCUUCACACACAGCACUGCAACAACCCAGAUGACCACCACCACCACCCUAAGCCCUCUCUCUACAGUCACAGCAUCCACCUGGGCUGAGAUCACAUCAGCAGGGACCAGCACAGCCCCAGCUCCCACCACACCAGCACACACAGAUUCCUCAGCUGAGCCCUCCACAGCCCUGGUGAGCACCACUACCAGCACCACAGUGUUCCCCAGGAGCACCCUCACUCCCAGCCCACCACUGGAGAACACAGCUGAGAGCAGCUCUGCAGAGACAUCCCCAACGAGCCCUAGUGCCACCCCAGGGACCACAGCAGUGGGUGUGACAGUGCCAGCAUCCACAGAGCCCCCCGUGUCGCUGCUCAGCACCGCAGCCACCACUCCUCCCUCCAGCCCGGACACAGAAGCCCCCACCUCAGCGAUGUCCAGCACCACCCCAGGGACCAGCAGUGCUGUCCCCACUUCAGCACACACAGCUGCACCACCUGAGCCCUCUACAACCGUGGUAGACACCACCACCACCUCCAUCACCAACACAGUGGUCCCCAGCAACACCCCCAGUCCCAGCCCAUCCCUGGGGAGCACCACUGGAACCAGCCCUGAUGUCUCCACACUGACCACAGGAACACCUCCAGACACCUCGACAGCAUCUCAGAGCCCCAGUACCACCCCAGGCACAGAUCCCUCCUCCUCUGCCACCACCUCAGCACAGAGCCUGGAUGGCACCACCAGCCCCUCUGCAGAGCUGCCACCAGCCUGCCCCAGCGCCCCGAGCAAUGCCAGUGCAUCCCAGCUCUUCCUCUCUAUGCAUCUCAUCACUCCUCUGGACAUGGGGAAUACCACAGUGCAGGAGCUGCUCCUGGCCAAGAUCCGCAGAGAUCUGCAGACCGCCUUCCCAUGUGCCGGGCUCCUGCUGCAGUGGAGAGGGGAGAAGCUGAUCUGAGCCCAUCGCUGGGGGAUGCUGGGCAGGACUGAGCCAUCCUGCACCUCCUGUCCUUGUCCCUCUGGAUAACCCACACAGCCCCAUCUGCUUCCCUGCACCGCAGUACCCCUCUGUGCCCCAUUUUCUACCCCUUCCCACAGCCACUCUGCAGCCCCAUAGCUGAUGAUGAAGAAGGAACCCUGCAGCCCCCCACCCUGCCCCAUUAUCACCAUGCAGCAGUGGCCCUGCUGGAAUCCAGGGUGCAUGCCAUGGGGCCAUGGAAAUCCUGUGGGUUGAACUCCUUCCCUGUUUUUUUCCAGUCCCUGGUUGAGGAGACGGCUGCAGCGUCUGCCUCCCCUGCAGCAAAGUCAUUUAUUAACUGAUUAAUUAGCCAGAUAAAAUGAGAGCGAAGCAAUUAUUACUCUAAGCAAGUCACCUCGCAGGGAGAUUAAAAAGUGGAAUAAUGAACAAAAAUGUCUGUGUUGUUCAUGGGGGAGCAAUCCCUU